GACGAACGCUGGCGGCGUGCUUAACACAUGCAAGUCGAACGGAAAGGCCCUGCUUUUGUGGGGUGCUCGAGUGGCGAACGGGUGAGUAACACGUGAGUAACCUGCCCUUGACUUUGGGAUAACUUCAGGAAACUGGGGCUAAUACCGGAUAGGAGCUCCUGCUGCAUGGUGGGGGUUGGAAAGUUUCGGCGGUUGGGGAUGGACUCGCGGCUUAUCAGCUUGUUGGUGGGGUAGUGGCUUACCAAGGCUUUGACGGGUAGCCGGCCUGAGAGGGUGACCGGCCACAUUGGGACUGAGAUAUGGCCCAGACUCCUACGGGAGGCAGCAGUGGGGAAUAUUGCACAAUGGGCGGAAGCCUGAUGCAGCAACGCCGCGUGCGGGAUGACGGCCUUCGGGUUGUAAACCGCUUUCGCCUGUGACGAAGCGUGAUUGACGGUAAUGGGUAAAGAAGCACCGGCUAACUACGUG
rnacentral:rRNA from 1 species